CUCAUUCGGCUGUGUGUCAGCGGUUGGUCUGGCUGGUUUUGCCUUGGACUCUACUCUGGAUCUGUUGUGGUCUGCUGGCUGUGGCCGGGCUGGCCUGCGUCUCAUGUUCAGCUUAAGUGAGCUGAUUUUGUCUGCUCCCUGGAUGGUAUCAUCUGGCUGUGUCUCCUUCCUCCCUGCAUGAGGGGGAGCUUGUCACCUGGCAUAGAGGUUGACUGUGCGCUGCAGCGUGUCGUCCCUUCCCGCAGUGCUCCUGGCUACACUGCUGUCUUGUCUAGAUUCGGGGUUUGGCUCACCCUGGGUUUUAUUAAUCUUAAUUGCUGCUUUUAAGAACUGCCAGUCCUGUGUCUUCUCACCCUGGAAUCCAGCAAUACGCCUGGCUCACCAGUUGUGG